AUCAUUUUAGCUUUUUUCUCUAGUUUAGAUAACACUAUACGAAUAUGGGUCAAAAUAACAUCCGUGGAUAGCAAGUACUCAACAAUCAAGCUCUUAUUGAAAGUUGAUCCACUGCUAAAUAGCAAGUUAUUUUACCAAAUACUAGAUAGUUAGUUUGGAAAACGCUUUGCCAAAUGAUCAAUAGAGUCGGAAUUUUUGUAGACGAAUACCGAAAUUGAAAUUAGCCACCUAGAAGUUGAGUUUCAUAUUUUUCUUUUCUUUUUCUUUACUUUACAUAGCAAAUUCAAGUAUUCAACACCAUUUUGAUGAAAUUUCUUCCAAAAGGCUGUUUCGAAGUGAGGUGUGGAAGCAUCCACUUACAAAAUCAAAAACAGAUGUUCGCUAGCAAUGAAAUUCCCAGACACAUGCCUAAUUUUUACAAUAAUGAAUAAAUAAUACAUUCUUUAUUGUUUAAAAAGUUAAGUCAUCUCAAGUUAAGUUGCAUAUCUUUAUUCAGAGCAAAUUACUCUAAUAAUAGGGAACAAAUUAAAGUAGAAAAUUGAGUUGUAAUAUAUUACCAUUUCUCAUUAGUUAUGGAAUUUUUCAUAAUACAUUUGCACAUUGUUGAAAUAAUUUAUUAUACGAGCUAUGCAUUUGAAAAACCUACUCGUGCUAACCAGCAUUACUUUCGACACACUAAUGAAAGAAUUAGCUACAUUAGGAUCUUGAGCUGUUGUCAAAAUGCUUAACGUAAAUUUAAAAGAAAUAUUUCAACUUGGUCAGACUAUUGACGAUCUAAGUAAAAAUGCAAACACUGAUCACGAAGCACAUAAUAUUUAAGUACAAAUAGUAAAAAUCACAGGGUCAGUUCCUCUUGACAAAUUUUUAAACAGUGUUAAGUGCAAGGCCGGCAUACUUUUUAUAAACAUAUUUGUCUCAAAAUCUGAAACCUUCCUAAAAGUGAUUAUUAAGUAGAACACAAUUUAAAAUAAUCUGCACUUUCAAAAUUCAUAUAUUUCCAAGGAAACAAUAUUUCUUUGACUUUUAUAGAUGAUUCAAGGGCAGAUUCGUACUCUGCUUUCGACAUUAAAAUGCUCAUUUAUGACUGAUGUAAAUCGCUUAAUUCCCUCCUCAAAGUCCUCAAAGUCAG